UUCAGAAAUGAUGGAAACGUGGAGGUAUCCUUGGGUAGGGGAUGAGGUUGGCUGGGCCAAGCGAUAAUUUCCAACCGCCCGGAGAUCGACGAGAGAAAAUAAAUCGAGAAUUUUUCACCGAAAAAUUUGGAGAUUAAAGAAAAGUCCUUACCUUUGCAGCCGCAAUCGAGA
rnacentral:rRNA from 1 species